GCUUUAGGUAUUGUAUGUACUAUCUCUAUCUUUAAAUCCAACAUUAUGUAUGUAACCCAAUGUAUGUACGUUUACCUGAAUAAAAAAUCUAAACUAAUCUAUAAUCACCCAGGGUUUCUUUGAAGGGAGAUUCUUAAGCUAAAUCACGCACCGCUAACCUACUGAGAACAGUCCUCCUGCCUAGGACUUUGCACAUGCACGAAGCUAGAGAUACAGGCCGUAAAUGGUUCGAGUUUGGCUAAGUAUAGGGAUCAUGAGGCCCUGCGUCCAGCGAUCUGGUAGGACACCUCGCCGUAGACUUUGUACAGUUCUAACUGUGGGUUAUUGAGUAUGCAGGCAAGAAGCGGGGGGUAACUCUUACAAAUUAUGUCUGAAUUUGGCCGUUUGUCUGUAUGGCCAAAAUGGACGUAAUGUGAAAAUAAAAAAAAUGGGAUUUUUUUCAAAACAGUAAGUUAAGGGUCCUCUGGUAGGUUAGGAGGGCAGGAAAUUCUCCUAAAGUGUUAAAACGUUACUUGAAAAUUUCAUUUCCUAACCUUUCCGAGUAAGGACUCCAAUAGAAAACGGGACAGUACAUCAGUUUCGUGAGUCGAUUUAAUUUAAAAUUACGUCCAUUUUUGGCCAUAAAGCGCACACGAGCGAAAAGCGGCGUUAUUUUUAAGAGGACGAGUUGUGCCACCGACUCUAGCAGUUGCUCUGGCCUUCUUGAGCGCAGUUUCAAGCUCAAACAGAGAGAUGUCAUUCACAUCAUUUGGGCCCAUUUCACUACAGGCAUUGUAAUAUUAAAACCCCUACUACCAUUGAUACUAGCAAGUGUAUAUUUUGAGGCAGAUUUGAUAUGCUAGCAGUGCUUGCAUACUAUUCUGGCAGCAUAUCAGCAUACGCUGCUGGGGAAUGGUGAGCAAGAUAAGGAGUAUGACAAGUUAAGCCAGCUCGUUUCGAACAGUUUCAAGUGUGGAAAAAUUAUGAAGCACUUUGUUUUCAUUUGGAAAAAGCAGUGAAAGAUGAAACAAGAUUUGGAAGUGAUAGAAAAACCUAUUAAAAAGUCUGUUGAAAAUGCUAGCUUUUAAACAGUUAUUAUUGGAUUUAGCUCUAAUGUAUGACACGUUGCAUGAACUUGGUUUACUGUCAGAGUGUCUACAGAAAUCCACUACUUCGAUUGUGUAUGCAGACAAACUGAUUCAACGGAGCAUGUCAUCCAUUGCAUGGGCUAGAAGAGAAACCUGGCACUAGAACAUUAGAAGCUCAAAAGGCAGUUGAAAAGGAGAAGUUUUAAGGAAUUACUAUAACAAGCCACAAGAAAAUUGUCUCCAAUAGUUAUCAACAGUUUCUUACUAGUCUUGUGAACAAGUUGCAGCACCGCAUGUUCACGACAAUAUCCAUGAAAGGCUCUCAAACUUCUGAACCUCAAAUUUCAGGCAGAAGGCAGCUUCUCAGCCCAAGAAGUGGCAGCAUGGAAAUGGAAAUGGCAGCAUAUCCCAUGGAAAUGUACUCUACUAGGCGCAAUGCCCAGAAGCAACAAGGUAACCCUCAAGAAGGCCCGUGGAAGAUACAAAACAAAACAAAAUCUCAACAGGGACACCUAUACAUACAACUGAGAAUAUCAUUCGAAUAUUCCCCAGAUGUCAGAAUUACCAAGAAGUGAGUACAUAUGCGAUGAGAAGCAUCCCAACCUGGAGACUGAGUAAACACACAGCUCUGAGUUGGCAAAACCUACUUAAAGUUUUGCCAACUCAGGGCUGGAGGGAGGGAGGAAGAAGAAACUGCAAGAUGAAGGCACAACACCAACCUCGCUCAACAGUUGUGGCAAAAUGAGCUGACCAAAAGAAAGGAAAGCAGAGGGAAGGCUUGACCAAACCCAGAGAAAGGCUGAAGAGAACCCCCCCCCUGAGGAUCAACCCAAAGCAUGCUGGAAAGGGAGCCUGUAAACCCGAUGGUUGUUUAGUGAAAUUAAAUCAGAGCAAUAUUAAUGCUUCCUGGGAAUAAUGAGCAUCAGGCCCAAAAGGUUGGGUGGGGUACUCUAGUUCUGACACUUCUGAUUAUGCAAAACCACUUUAAACUUUUGGUUAUCAAAUUAUGAGAAUAGGCAGGGAGAUAUCAUAAAGUCAAGUUGUCUCAGGAAACCCAGCAAGCCACAAAAAGAGCAAACCUGGAACAAAAGAGGAGAAAGUGACUAGCUAAUAUAAACCAAAGCAAGUGGGGAAAUUCCUCAUACACACUGAAACUUGAGACUGGAACUAUUAUUCCAAAUAAAAAAUUAAAGAAUGAACUGAACCAAGUACAGUACGAAAAAAAACACAAAAUGCCAAUCAUAACAGGCAUCAAUUUGGAAACAAAUUGGAUUAAAAGCAAACAUCUUGAAAGGUGAUAUAAUUUAGUGUGAAUUUUUGUUAUGCUCAGGGAAUGGUUUUAAACAAUGUAGGAACUGGAACAAAAACUUUUUAUUUUUUUUUUAGUACAGUACAUAUAGAUAAUGCUUGAUGUAACCCUUGCACAUUCCAAGGGGUUAUGCUCAGAAAAAUACUUUCAGAUAAGGGCAUUUUUGGAGAAAUCCAGAUUUUACACGAAUGAGUUGCAUAAAUAUCAAUAGGAAUGGGUAUUAUUAUUUUUUAGGCCCUAACCAGAAAAACGAAUUGGUUAACUAUGGCACAAAUAAAUAUCUACAACAA